AAUUUUGGACAAUGGGGGAAACCCUGAUUCAGCCAUCCCGCGUGUAUGAUGAACGCCUUCGGGCUGUAAAGUACUUUUGGCAGGGAAGAAAUGGCACCUCCUAAUACGAGGUACUGCUGACGGUAUCUGCAGAAUAAGCACCUGCUCACUACGUGCCAGCAGCCGCGGUAAUACGUAGGGGGCAAGCGUUAAACGGAAUUACUGGGCGUAAAGCGUGUGUAGGCGGUUCGGAAAGAAAGAUGUGAAAGCCCAGGGCUCAACCUUGGACCGGCAUUUUUAACUGCCGGGCUAGAGUAUGUCAGGGGGGGGUAGAAUUCCACGUGUGGCAGUGAAAUGCGUAGAUAUGUGGAGGAAUACCGAUGGCGAAGGCAGCCCCCUGGGAUAAUACUGACGCUCAGACACGAAAGCGUGGGGAGCAAACAG
rnacentral:rRNA from 1 species